AUGAGAGUUUAUUCUUGCAAACUUGAGCAGCGCUCCUUCUGCGAGCUGAAACAAAGCCCUGCUUUCCUCUCUGCGCGCUCUCUUUUAGAAGUUGGGUUUGCAGAACAUCCCCCUCUGCAAACUGAGCGGAGCGGGCUGACUGCUCACCUCCACACCAGCACUAAGCAAGGGACGGGCGCAGGUAAAGCUUUAAAUGGCGAACUCGGCCGCACAACAAAUCUCGUGCUCUGCUCCCAAACGAGCAGCUCGCUGCAGCAGCCAAACCUCAGCGGUCUCCUCUCGGCCCCCGUGGGUUUGUGGGGAAUGUUUACAAAGAGGCCCAAACGGGCCCUGGAGCAGCUGAGGGUGGAGGCAAUCAGCGUCCGGACUCCCUCCCCCCGCCCAGGAGCACACGGGCCGGGCCCGGAAGGCCGCGCGGUGCGGGGAGGUGGUGCUGCCGGGCGGCAGAAGCAUACCAUAUGUGGACAACUCUACCCAAAACCUCAUGCUUCAGAGGAAAUAAGAUGUACCCCUGUGAGCUUGCAAGAACGGUAUGUUAAAUCCUGAACGUGUGAAACUCCUAAAUACAUCCUGAAGGCAUUAGUCUUCGGCCUAACGCUUGUAAAGAUUUCCUGCGUUGGAAUAAUUUCCUGUUUGUAACACUGGUGGAGUCAGCAAGUGCCUAACCCGGCCUGUAUUACCCAUUCCCCGAAGUUGACGGGUGAAGCCGAACGCGCAGCCCACCAAUAGCAUGACUCGUAAAAGCAGGCACUUGUUAAAUCUAUUUGUUUUUAUUAUGGACAUCGAUCUGCCAGUCGCAAUAAUGCAUUUAUGGACAUUUUUCUGCAAGCGCAGCGCUGGUGGCAGUUUUUACUGACAAAUUGAGUCAUAUGGACAGUAGUUCAAAAUACGCUUACUUUAUUGACGGAUUGUGCAAUUCUCUGGUUUACUGAGUGUUCAUAAGAUAUCUGGACUGGUGAAGAGAAUGUAACUAAUGGGAAGAUGUAGGAUGAAGUUUUAAUUUUAGGAGGCUUGAAAUCCUUGAGGCAGUGACAGGUUUGGGCGUGUGUCCUGGCUGUUCCUGCAGACCUUUUCAUUAAUGCCAUAANUCAACCCAGGCCAUCCUAUGGUUCUAUGAUUUUGAUGCUUUUUGCUAAUCCUUUUCGAGGAGUUUUCUGAUUUACUGUUUUGUAUCAGCAGUGCAAAAGCAUCUUGACCCGAUGCGUCAGGAUUAUGUGCUGCUUUGUAUUAUCAUGUAUUCAAUAAUAGAAACCAUUUCAGGUGUAUUUUUAAGUCACUUCUUAAAUUCGGACCUGCAGCUGAAGUUCUGCCCAACACUGUGGAGGUUCUGAAGGGCAUGACAGUAUUUUCAUCUGAAUAGAUCCCAGUUAAGGUUAAUCUCACAAAAAUGGGAUGUUGUUGGUAUGAAGCUUGUGAUGUUUUUUUUCUCUCUGCUUUCCAAGCCAAAUAGCAUAUUUUGGACCUAUAGGGUUGAGUCAAAGGGAGAUGGAAUAAUUCUGCCUCUUAAAGAGUAGGAACAAGUGGCAUCCAAAGGAGCAACAGGUGGCAAUUCAGAUCACUUGUGUGCACUGCGUGGUGUGCAGCUGAGUGAUGGUGUUGGAAUCGGAUGCUAGGUUUGGGUUCAGAAGGCAAGUGGGUGAGCACUGAGACCUUUGGGUGUUUCCUUUUGCAUUCAGAAACCCCACUUCUGACUGGGAAGAUUUGAAACCCUUAUCUUGCGGGGCAGGACGGUGCACAAGUGAAGCAAUCACUGAGUGCUUGCUGUGUGCUGUUGGUGAGGGUGGGAUGCUGAAGAGAUGGGCCUUUGGUUUACUUUUUGUUAGUAGAGGGCGAGUAUUGAUGCUGUCUUGUAAGUGUUGCAGCUGCAUAAUUAGCAUUCCAAUAAUAUUUUAGUUAUCUGGAGUCAGUACAGUGCAAACAGUGAAAUUAUUUUGGGUUGUUUGUAUAUUUGAGCAUGCAGAAGGUCUGUUAAUUAGUUAAACUUUUUAAUAAACACUUAAAGUAAACUUAAGGCCCCAUUAAAUGAUUAAAACUUUCCAAUUUAGCUUUGUAACAUCACAAGGUAGGGCGUACUGCAUCUAAAAAUACCCGUGAAGCACACAACUGCUUGGGGAGCCGUGGGCCGCCUUUGGUGGUGGGACGUUUUUAGACUGUUGCUGCUGCCCUGGAAAAACAAUUCACAAACAACUGCUUUCCCCUUUGUCUUGUUCCACUGAAGUUCAGUGUGGUAAAUACAAUGUCCUGAAAAGGGCGGGGAGAAAAAGGGAAAUCCCUUNAAUACUUCAGUGAGGUCUAAGUGUAGGGAAAUGCUUGUUGGUAGUAAAACAGGAUAGCGCUGCUGUUUGUCAAGGAAUUCACAGUGACUUUCCCUGCUGAAGGGCAGCAUCAGUGCAUUUGUACUCCACAGCCCUAGUCUUCAAAUAACUGGAAUGGACUUUGAAAAUACUAAUACUACUUUGUGUGUGAAAUAACUACUGUAACAAUAGUAAUGCUCCUCCAGGAGAAUAUUUCUAGUUCAAUCAAACUUGCAUAUCUAACUAUUCCUGCCGGCAACUUCUGCUGCUAUUACAAAUGUCUUAAUAGUGGCAUCUCUUGUGGUUUUAAUUUGCUUCAUGUACUGGCUGAGAAGAGCAGUGUUCUGGCAUAUGCCGUGCCUUUGUACCCAUUUGCUGAAGAUUUUUUUCUGCUUUCCCUAGAAGAAAAUGCUUUUUAUUUCUUUAAAAUUGAACAGGUGAGGAAAGAAAUUCUGGAAGAUAAAUUCAUGUUUUGCUUUUUUCUUUUACCCAAUAUUCUGUGGGCUUGUAUUUGUGUGUGUGUUGGUUGGAGGCAUCUUGCAGCAGGUACCUUGGAUAAUUGCAGAGAUGUUUGAUGAUCUUAUGAACCACCACACGUAUCUGGAAUAGUCACUGGUUGCCUCUCAUUCAAAGCUGGGUGUGACAGAGCUGGUAAGCAACAUGAAACUAAUAAUUUAUUACCUAACCUUUUCAGUUCUCCCACUCUCGCUUCACGUUGAAGGGUACGGUGUUGGCUGUUAGGGGAGCUUUCCCUUUUUGAUGUGUGGAAGGUCUGAGGCAAAACGUGGACUGUCAGCUCCAUGCUUUGUGGGGAGCAGAGGGCUGCAGGGAGUCGUGCAGGCACAGCCAGGGCUCUCCAGCUCCCUGCUGCUGUUCCCCACACCCUUCUGAAUGUGUAGGAACGGACUGUUGCUCACAAUUCCUUAUUAUCUCCAUAUUUAGGAUCAGUUUGCUUUCACUGGAAGCACAGCCACACGGUAUGUGCCUUUGUGGCACAAGCUAUACCUGGCUCACACGUUCUGCAGCAGUCAGUAAUCACGAGUGUAACACGCUGAGCAGUUCUAGGCGGGUUGCUGGGAAAUGGAGUCAGAAGGCAGCCAGGUGUGGGUGCUCUCCUCAGGUGCUGCUGUCUCCCUCUCGGUACCGUGGCUCUGUAGCUGCGUAGCGGUGACCAGAGGUGGAGGUUGGGCCUGAGAAGGGGAGGCUGCACCGUGGCCCCAGUGCUGUGGGGAGGUGUUGGUGGGAGGUGGGUGGUUGCACUAAGUGAACUUGGAGGUCUUUUCCAAACUCAGUGAUUCUGUGUGCAUGAGCAUUCAUUAGGAAUACAUUUGCUUGGGAACUUCUUGGUUUUAUGGUGUUCUCGUGGCAAUGUGGCAUUUUUUUGCUAUUCCAUGAGAUGUAAUUCUAAAUACAGCUCUGUUCUGUGGAUAUUUUGCAGUUCUUACAUUUAAACUUAGUAAACUAUUAAUUUUUUACUGGCUGUUCUGCUUUGUGCUCAGUGUAGUGAAACUCCUGUGCUCAAGUGAGCUCAGAUUGGUAACGGCAGCAAAGUUCAGGCUUUGUAUGACAAGACUGUAACCCUCUAUUUCUGUGUGAGCCUUCUAGACGUGCCUUUUGUGUGUAUUUAUUCUUUCUGCACGUGCAUUUGUAUUUUAGUGCGUUCUUAAUACAC
ensembl:lncRNA